rnacentral:rRNA from 1 species
UACGUAGGUGACAAGCGUUGUCCGGAUUUACUGGGCGUAAAGAGCGCGCAGGCGGUCGUUCAAGUCGGGUGUGAAAGCCCCCGGCUCAACUGGGGAGGGUCAUUCGAUACUGAUCGACUCGAAGGCAGGAGAGGGUAGUGGAAUUCCCGGUGUAGUGGUGAAAUGCGUAGAUAUCGGGAGGAACACCAGUGGCGAAGGCGACUACCUGGCCUGUUCUUGACGCUGAGGCGCGAAAGCGAGGGGAGCAAACAGG